AUUCAUAUAUUUUAUUAAGAAUUUAAUAUUGAAGAUAUUAAGGGGAUAUUUAUAUCUGUGAAUA
rnacentral:tRNA from 1 species